GGGCACGCCUGCCUCUUGGGAGAUCACACAGCACAGGUGUGUAUUGGGGCAUCUGUGUGAGGGAGCAGGCGUAGUGUGUGUCUUCGGACACGGGGGAGAGAGGUGCCGAGAGAGGGGCUCACAGCGCUGAGGUCGCCUGGCACAAGGUCCUGAGGGCUGGCUGCUGAGGCCUUUUCCUCAUCGCAACUGUGAAGCACCGAGGAGAACAACAAAGAUGUUUUUCCGCAUCCCACGACUGACGCCCGGGUACAUCAGAUACCUCCAGACUCAGGCGGCCCAGACCGUGCUGCAGAGCCGGGAGGGGCCCGCAACGCCACGCCUGGCCGUGCUGAUGGGCCUCAUGGGAAUCGGCGUGUCCGGCUACAGCUCCCGUCAGCUCACACUGCACUACAAGCCAUCCAAUCAUCUCUUGAGAUGAGCAGGAGGGAGGAAUACGCACACACACACACACACACACACACACACACUGACAACAUCAGACCUGCACUGAACAGCAACAAGGAAAGACAAACAAGACCAAUGGAACUGUCAGCUUCCAUUGGUCUUGUGUGAAAAUGUGUGAAUUCCUGUACUUCCUCAAUUCCUGUACAAUCAGGUUCCAGGGAAGUACAGGAAUGAUGUUUGUUCCUGUCAAAAGCCAGUUUUCCUCUGUGCAUCCAUACUGUGAAUGCCUCCUCGGUGGUUGAACUUCAAAAUCAUCCUCGUUCUGGAUUUAGUUAUGUUUUGUUUUUUUUUUCUUGUCAUGUUUGAGAUGUGUAGUUUGUUGCCUUAAGACUUGUGGAGCAAGGAGUAAAACUAUCAAGUCCCCGCUUCUAAAUGCUACCUCUUCAUUUCAGCACGAUGAAGGUAUCUGCUGUUUUGAGCUUGAUUGAUAUGUAGUCGAAGAUUGAAGGAUCAUACCAGUGAUUUUAAGUGUUUGGCCCAUUCACUACAAUUGACCCACAGUUUACAGUGCAACAAACCAACUGGUGUGAGGAAGGUUUGAAGCCAACAGCUGGAUAAAAAGGUAGGAAAAAUGAUAUCAGAGUUAUAAAAUAUGACUGCUUGCUUUUGGAAACUAUAUUUUGUAGAUAUUACAUUUAACAUGCAAAAUCACUGCUAUAGGCCUAUUCUUGAUAUUUUAGCUGAACCGGAGUGAUGUUGCACUUCAACCACAAUCUCUUUAAAUAGUCUGUGCCUUAUAAAGAGGAGGCGUUAAUCUGCAGUCUGAAUCAAAACAACAAGCUUAUUUUAAGAAAUCUGUCUGUGUCAGUUAAGCAGGUAAGGCCUGCUUUGAGAAUUCUCCUCCAAAGCCAAGAGCCCUCUAAUUCCAAGAGCCACUUUCUCUCCUCUGGCACCUCCUGUGGCGUUUCAGAAAUGCCAUGAUGUAACACAGAGAUCACAGGGUGUUCCUCUGAGAGAGUUAGCUGUGACAUCUCUGCUUGUGUCCUCUGUUUAGAUAUCUAAAACAGGGAGAGAUAAUACCAGUAGCAUCGUCCAUUCAGAGAGUUAAGGCAUUCAAAUCGCUUUGACAAACCACUCUGUGAUUUCAGUGUGAGAUCUGGAUUUACCAGAAUGAGUUCUGGGCUCUCUGAUUUCUUUCGCUUGUGUUUUUGUGACAAAAGGUCUUCCAAGUAAAGAAAUGCUCUCGAAAAUAUAUACAUAUAUAUAUUUUGCAAAUCUACUUCUUUUUCAAUCUUGAUUUUUAUUUCUCUCAUGAGAAUGCACAGAGGAAAAAGUCUUUUGACAGAACCUGAUUGGUGACCUUUGACCUAUGAGGACACUGCUACUUUGCACUUUGAGGACACUAUGUAUAUAUAAGAUGUACAAACCAUGUGUGUACAGUAUUUGAUGCUGAAUGAGAUUAGUAGAACAUGACAUGGCGUGCGGCCAGCCUGUGUUGUGAGCUGGCCUGGGCAGUAUCCAGCCAGAUUGACACAUUGGCACUGCUGUUUCGUGGUCAGGCUGAGUAGCCAGGACAGCCACCCUGGGUGCCACCUGCUCCAGCAAUGUGCUGACAAAAUGUGUGAAUCCAGCCGGAUCUCUCCCAGCUGUGCACGCCACUGUCACAUGACGCAGAGGAGGACAGCAGAAUGACUUUAGAUGCCUGACCUCUCAGGUCUCCUAACAUAGCUAGAGAAGUGAUUUAUCUUGCUGUUUAUCUGCUGUGCGUGAGGUUUUAUAAAAUGAAAAAUGACUUUGACAGCGUAUGAAUGUAUCACCGACAAGUAAUGUAACUUAGCAGUUAAACUGUGGCUGUGGAGGGGAGUGUUGACUUGAAGGUGUCAUAAUCUCCUGUUAUAAGACUGUUUCAAGGAAAGACUGGCGAUAACCAUACUUUACAUACUAUAUCCAUGCAGGAUUCACAAAACAAAGGGAUUAGCAUGUAAACAGGUCACAAGGUGGGUGUAGUAAUACUUCCAGGCCUCACAGAUCCUAUUAGGAUGCACCUUUUUCUAGACCAGCUUACAUAUGAGCGAGUCACAAGCCCUUCAUGUGACAGAAGAAGCGGAAGAAGUGUGAUUUUUUUUUUUUUCCCCAGCUAAGCCUGGUCAGUUGAACAAGGGAUUUCAAGCGGAAGCACAUGCACAGGGUAAUGGUGGUUUUUGAAUAGUAUGUUGUUAUGUAGCAGAUAUUACAGCCACAUAGUCAGUUGUGAGUGUUUAGUGAAAUGUUUUGUCUGUCAGAUUGUUGUUUUGCUUGUCACCAGUGUGGUAGCAAGGCAUAAAAUGUCUCAAAGACUACUGUCUGGAGCAAAGUUAUCCGAGUUUGUAUGGAAAGCCACAAAACUCAUCUAGAUAUUUACUGCAUAUCUGGAUACCGAUAGACUGUUGAUAUGUUGGCUAAUAGCCUAUUUAUUCUUUUGGGGUGUCAUUUAGUUUACUCUGUGAGGUAAGUGUGAUCUUUGCAGGCUAGAGCUGCUUUCAUACAAUGAAAAUGUAUUGCAUUGAUGUAUACAUACUGUACAGCACUGUUGUAUAUGGCGUAAUUUUGUAUUUCAUAUGUGUUCAGCAGUGUUAAAUAUUCCACUGUGCUGUUGUUUAGCUUUGCCAUAGUGACCUGAGGCAUUGUAAAUGCACAGCAAAGCACCUUUCAACACUGGGCUGUUCAUGUUUGUGAUCUGAUGAGCAUGUAUACAUAAAUAAAUUCUAAAUUAUGAACAUAAUCAAAUAACUGGA